UCUCCUCCUACUAUACUUUCUCAAAUACCGAUCAAGCUUUCCAUCAUAUUUUUCAUUUACGGAGAUUCUCCUAGAGUACUUUCUCAAAUACGGAUCCGGUUUUUUAUUGCAUCCCUCAUCUGCAGAGGUUCUCCUAGCAUACUUUCUCAAAUAUACCUCUGGUUUUCUAUUGCAUCUUUCAUCUGCAGAGGUUCUCCGAGUAUACUUUAUUGAAUAUCGAUCAGGCUUUCCAUUGCAUCUUUCAUCUGCAAGUACUAUGAAUCCAUCUCCCUGCCUACAAGAAUGAGCCUUGGAGUUCAUCAC
rnacentral:lncRNA from 1 species